rnacentral:lncRNA from 10 species
GGUAAAGGUGUGGUCUCCCUGUGUUGCUCAGCCUGGCCUCAAACUCCUAGGCUCAAGCAAUGCUCCCACCUCGGCCUCUCAAAGUGCUGGGAUUAUAGGGAUGAGCCAUGGUGCCUGGCCCCAGGUAUGGAAUUUUCCACUUAGGGCACCAUGUCAGCACUCAAAAUGUUUUGGAUUUUGGAGCAUUUCAAAUUUCAGAUUUUUGGAUUAGGGAUAUUCAUCCUGUAUAAAGCUAUAUAAAUGAAUAAAUCAAUAGCAUACUUUGGAAAAGCUAUAUAUACUGAAUGGGGCUGGGCACGGUGGCUCAUGCCUGUAAUCCCAGCACUUUGGGAGGUCAUAGUAUUUGGUUGACUUUUUGUAUCUUGAAUGUUUUCUGCAAGUACCUCUACUUGUUUCUUGUAACGUAAAACAGAAGUACUACUUUCCACAAAAUCAUUAUUUAAACUAUAGUCUUCUUUGCUAUCGUCGCUACUAAUUUCAAUUGGAGCUUCAUUUUCAGUUUUAAUAUUAUUUAGUUGAUGAGAUAAAUUAACCCUCUUUCUUUUCUUCUUAAACUCUACAUUUGAGAACAUUUCCAAAGGUGUCGUACAGUCUUUGUUGCUGUCAACAGGUACUGAUUCAGGUGACUUUAUCUUGCA